UAAUAAGAUGGUGUACACAGGGC
rnacentral:piRNA from 1 species